rnacentral:rRNA from 1 species
UACAGAGGGUGCAAGCGUUGUUCGGAAUUAUUGGGCGUAAAGCGCGUGUAGGCGGCAUUGCAAGUCGGGUGUGAAAGCCCUCAGCUUAACUGAGGAAGUGCGCCCGAAACUGCAGUGCUUGAGUACCGGAGAGGAUGGCGGAAUUCCCCAAGUAGAGGUGAAAUUCGUAGAUAUGGGGAGGAACACCGGUGGCGAAGGCGGCCAACUGGACGAAUACUGACGCUGAGACUCGAAAGCGUGGGGAGCAAACAGG